rnacentral:rRNA from 2 species
AGCGGCGCACGGGUGAGUAACACGUAGGUAACCUGCCUCUAAGACUAGGAUAACCUGUUGAAAGACGAGCUAAUACUAGAUAAGACCACGGUCCCCUCGGGGACAGGGGUCAAAGGUGGCCUCUGCAUGCAAGCUAUCACUUAGAGAUGGGCCUGCGCACCAUUAGCUAGUUGGUAGGGUAAUGGCCUACCAAGGCAAAGAUGGUUAGCUGGUCUGAGAGGAUGACCAGCCACACUGGGACUGAGACACGGCCCAGACUCCUACGGGAGGCAGCAGUGGGGAAUCUUGCGCAAUGGGCGAAAGCCUGACGCAGCAACGCCGCGUGGGUGAUGAAGGCCUUCGGGUCGUAAAGCUCUGUUACCAGGGAGGAAAUACACAGAUUUUAAUACAGUCUGUGUAAGACAGUACCUGGAGAGGAAGCCCCGGCUAACUCCGUGCCAGCAGCCGCGGUAAUAC